CCUACGGGAGGCUGCAGUGAGGAAUAUUGGUCAAUGGGCGGGAGCCUGAACCAGCCAAGUAGCGUGAGGGAUGAAGGUCCUACGUGUCGUAAACCGCUUUUGCCCGGGGAUAACACCCUCCACUUGUGGACGUCUGCAUGUACCUUGCGAAUAAGGGCCGGCUAAUUCCGUGCCAGCAGCCGCGGUAAUACGGAAGGCCCGAGCGUUAUCCGGAUUCAUUGGGUUUAAAGGGAGCGUAGGCGGGCUUUCAAGUCAGCUGUAAAAGCGCGCGGCUCAACCGCGCCCCGCCGUUGAAACUGGAAGCCUUGAGUGCACAAGAGGUAGGCGGAAUUCGUGGUGUAGCGGUGAAAUGCAUAGAUAUCACGAGGAACCCCGAUUGCGAAGGCAGCCUGCCGGGGUGCGACUGACGCUGAGGCUCGAAGGUGCGGGUAUCAAACAGGAUUAGAUACCCGAGUAGUC
rnacentral:rRNA from 1 species